AGUACAGCCCUCCUGCGGGGAGGAGAGGAAAGACCAGUAAAAACACUUCCGAGAGCGAUGUGAUUAUUUUAAAGCGUCAGUGUUUGCAGUAUGCCGGAAGUCAUAUCCUUUUAAGCUAUUUAAACUCGUGAUGAAAGCGCCCAGGCCCUCACCUGCGAGGACGAAGAUCUGCACCACGUACAGGGACUUGAAGAGCCUGGAAAGAAAGCAGAGCUGAACGUGAGGCUGGGGUCUCUCGUGCCCUCCCGGUGAGGACUAGCUUUCCUCCCCAGUCCAGGCCCCAGGAUCCGCUCCGCCAGGGCGCAGCCCGUCCACGCUGUGGUGGAUACAUUUGUCCGCGGUAGGUAGCGGGGGCUUGGCCUGGGCUCCCUGCUGACUGGCCGGCAUGAGUCUGCGCCUCUGCCACUUCCAAAGCCAGACGUGGAGCCUGGAGCACAGAGGGGCCCCCAGCCCCGCCCCUCUCCUUUCCUUCCUUCCUUGGGUCCAUCUUGGCCCUCCAGCCAGAAGGCAGGGACCAGGCCUUGGCUUCGUAUUCAGAGAUGCGCAUUUGGCGCUGGAUUAGCCCCACCCCCCGCAGCUCCUCAAAGUCCUCCCCACUCUGAGCUGACAGAUUCAUGUUCCACCCACCAGGACCAGGCCCUCUACCCGGACCCUGAGUUCCAGGGACAUUGGAACAGUCAGGGAAAGGGGCACGGAGAACCCUGUUUUCCCUUCCUCUUGGGUCCAAGUGGGGUUUCCCUUUCCUGGUUAUCCGGAUGCGGUGACGGGCCCCACCUAAACAUUACCUCUCUCUCUGGUGGCACAGACCGAACACCAUUUUCAGUCUAAGAAGAAAAGGUGGGCAACAGUCAGUGUCUCUCACAGGCCCAGGAGCCCCGUGUUCCUGAACCACAGGGCUUGCAGGAGUCACGUUGGGGUGGGGGCGGAGUGGCAAGGAACCCCACCGGCAGGGCUCAGCAGGGGAUGGCCUGCUGGUCACAAACAGAGGUCGAACUCAGGAUGCAGUGGGCUAACCCUUGGAGCUCAGAAAAUGCUUAGAAAUUCCUCCUAAGACCUCAGGGUGCCAAACAAAAGAUGGUUCCAAUGCCCUCAGAGCUGAAAAGGUUAAGUCCCAGGGCACCGAAUGGGAAAAGGGGGUUGGGGUAGAAUUAAAGAGAAAGGUGAGGCUGUGUUGGACAUUUGGCGUAACAUGUUCUCAGGCGUUGGUAGAACAUUAUAAUAGUAAAUAAUAAUGACUAGAAACUACCAAAACUUUAAA